ensembl:miRNA aca-mir-5457 aca-mir-5457
GUCCCAGCUAGGGUAGACCUAUUGAAUCAGUGUGUUAAGUGUUUACUCGCCAUUCAACAGCUGAUUCAUUGGAUCUACUCUGGUUGGUUU